GGGGGGGGGGGGGGGGGGGGGGGGGGGGGGGGGGGCGGGCGGGGGGGCGGGGGGGGGGGUGCUCUGAUGUUGGCGGCGGACGGGUGAGGCACACGUGGGUAAGCUACCUCGCAGCCUGGGAUGACUUCGGUAAACCGGCGCUAAUACCGGCCACUAUUUUGAACCGCAUGUUUCCAAAGUGAAAUCCGGUCGUGCUGUCACUCAUAGCUUGAUCCGCGCUGCAUUCGCUAGUUGGCAAGGUAACGGCUUACCAAGGCACCGAUGCAUAGCCGACCGGCGAGGGUGAUCGGCGACACUGGAACUGAGACACGGUCCAGACUCCUACGGGAGGCAGCAGUAGGGAAUCUUCCGCAAUGGGCGAAAGCCUGACGGAGCAACGCCGCGUGAGUGAUGAAGGUCUUCGGAUCGUAAAACUCUGUUAUUAGGGAAGAACAUAUGUGUAAGUAACUGUGCACAUCUUGACGGUACCUAAUCAGAAAGCCACGGCUAACUACGUG
rnacentral:rRNA from 1 species